rnacentral:rRNA from 1 species
UACGUAGGCAGCAAGCGUUGUUCGGAAUUACUGGGCGUAAAGCGUGCGCAGGCGGUUUUGUAAGUCUGUCGUGAAAUCCCCGGGCUCAACCUGGGAAUUGCGAUGGAGACUGCAAGGCUAGAAUCUGGCAGAGGGGGGUAGAAUUCCACGUGUAGCAGUGAAAUGCGUAGAGAUGUGGAGGAACACCGAUGGCGAAGGCAGCCCCCUGGGUCAAGAUUGACGCUCAUGCACGAAAGCGUGGGAGCAAACAGG